CCUACGGGUGGCAGCAGUGAGGAAUAUUGGUCAAUGGACGAGAGCCUGAACCAGCCAAGCCGCGUGAAGGAUGACUGCCCUAUGGGUUGUAAACUUCUUUUAUAUGGGAAUAAAAUGUUCCACGUGUGGGAUAUUGUAUGUACCAUAUGAAUAAGGAUCGGCUAACUCCGUGCCAGCAGCCGAGGUAAUACGGAGGAUCCGAGCGUUAUACGGAUUUAUUGGGGUUAACGGGAGCGUAGGUGGAUUGUUAAGUCAGUUGUGAAAGUUUGCGGCUCAACCGUAAAAUUGCAGUUGAAACUGGCAGUCUUGAGUGCAGUAGAGGUAAGCGGAAUUCGUGGUGUAGCGGUGAAAUGCUUAGAUAUCACGAAGAACUCCGAUUGCGAAGGCAGUUCACUGGACUGCAACUGACGCUGAGGCUCGAAAGUGUGGGUAUCAAACAGGAUUAGAUACCCUGGUAGUC
rnacentral:rRNA from 1 species